CACAAGCAGCGGAGCGUGUGGUUAAUUCGAUGUUACACGAAGAACCUUUACCUGGGUUUGACAUGCUAGUGGUAAUGAAGCGAAAGCUAAGUGACCCGCAAGGGAGCUAGCACAGGUGCUGCAUGGCUGUCGUCAGCUCGUGUCGUGAGAUGUUCGGUUAAGUCCGCUAACGAGCGCAACCCUCGCUGUGUGUUACAAGUGUCACACAGGACCGCCGGUCUUAAGCCGGAGGAAGGUGGGGAUGACGUCAAGUCAGCAUGGCCUUUAUGUCCAGGGCUACACACACGCUACAAUGGUCAGCACAAUAGGUAGCCAAGCCGCGAGGUGGAGCCAAUCCUCAAAGCUGGCCUCAGUUCAGAUCGCAGGCUGCAACCCGCCUGCAUGAAGUUGGGGUUGCUAGUAAACGCAGGUCAGCCAUACUGCGUUGAAUACGUUCCCGGGGCUU
rnacentral:rRNA from 1 species